UCGAACGAGAAAGUGGAGCAAUCCAUGAGUAAAGUGGCGACCGGGUGAGUAACACGUGACUAACCUACCCUUGAGUGGGGGAUAACCUCGGGAAACCGGGGCUAAUACCGCAUAACAUCGCAAGAUCAAAGGAGCAAUCCGCUGAAGGAGGGGGUCGCGGCUGAUUAGUUAGUUGGUGAGGUAACGGCUCACCAAGACGAAGAUCAGUAGCCGGCCUGAGAGGGCGCACGGCCACACUGGAACUGAAACACGGUCCAGACUCCUACGGGAGGCAGCAGUGGGGAAUUUUGCGCAAUGGGGGAAACCCUGACGCAGCAACGCCGCGUGGAGGAUGAAGUCCCUUGGGAUGUAAACUCCUUUCGAUCGGGAAGAUAAUGACGGUACCGGAAGAAGAAGCACCGGCUAACUCUGUGCCAGCAGCCGCGGUAAUACAGAGGGUGCAAGCGUUGUUCGGAAUUAUUGGGCGUAAAGGGCGCGUAGGCGGUGCGGUAAGUCUGUAGUGAAAUCUCU
rnacentral:rRNA from 1 species